rnacentral:lncRNA from 1 species
AAUUGGUAAAAUUGAAUUGGGAAUUCGCCAUGAUAUUCCUUUGGUUAACAUGGUAAUUAGCGUUGGAUCUCAGAAUACUACUUUGGUUGCAUGAGUUAAAGAAGCAAGUCAUGUUGUUGUCAACACCAUUACCAUGAUAAUUAGGAUUGAACGAGACUGAGUUGGAGUUAAAAGAAAAAGAGGACUCAAAAUUUGUUGCCAUGGAAAUGAUUGAGAGGCUCGCAAAGAACACAGGAAAAUAAUAAAGCGAAAUGAUGAGAGAACAAGCUUUGAUGGAAGACAACUAGGGUUUAUAUCACAUAUAUAUAAUGUUUUUUUUAGGUCGGUG